GCCAUCCUCUCUGGCACUCUGCCCCGCCCCCGCGGGCAGCGGCGGUUGGUCCGCUGGCAAGCCUCGAGUCUUGUCCGAACUCGCCACUGGAGGCUUCCUAGCGGCCUUGCUGAUUGGCUGCCCGGGCAUCCUCCCUCCCCGCUGCGGGCCCCGCGCGACACAGGCGCAGCUAAGCAGAGGCGGCCUGGGGGUGUCCACACACGCCGCGGCCCACCUCCCCCCGUCGCCCUCGGGAAAGGGGACGCAUGAGGGACUCGCCUGCAUCUCCCCGGGCCUGCAGCAGCUCCAUCUGCUCCUGCAGCUGCCGGACGUGCGCCUCCAGGUCUCGGUUCCGGGCCUCGGCCUCACGGAGCUGACUGCGGGGAGCAGAAGACCGUGAGCCCUCCCGGGCUCGAGCGAGACUGGCUGCAGACGGCAGGGACGGACCCGGGCGCCCCGACCCCGACCUGGCAAAGUUCUGGUUAGCUGUGCGGAUGGCCUCCAGCUCCCGGCUCAGGCUCUGCCGAGUAAGCACCUCCUCCUCCAGGGCCUCCUGGAGCUCCCGCAGCGUCAUCCGGGCCUCCUGGGCCUCCGCCGAGGCUGGAAUGGCUUCCGGAAUCGCCGCUUCAGCCUGCGGGCGGGACUGUGCGGAACUGCGCUUAGGGCUGCUCGGGGCUCCUGCUGGGCCCAAGACCUGCGCCCAGGUUCAAGGCUGGGGACGCCCCUCUCCUUGUCCUCUAGAUCUCUGGGAAUCCUCCCAGCUCGUGCAGUGACCCAGAUCUCCUUCCCUAACUAACCCCAGCCCCUGUCCUGGUCUCCUGCCUUUGGUCUGGACUCUUCCACGCUGGAACCAAAGGGCUGUUCCUACCACCCACACCCAGUUUGACCACGUCCCUCUCCUCCUCUCCAGCCCCUCAGCGCCCUCAGGGGAAGGCCUGCCUCCCUGUUUGGCUGGUUUCCUGUUGGCCUCAGUCUCCUCUCCCCUCAUUCUCCACGCCCCUCCUCCUGGAAUAAGUAAAUCAGCCUUACCGCCCUCCUUUCCUUUUCCAGAAUAAACCUUUGCCUUGAA